GUGCGCGCUCCUGGAGGAGUCAGAAGGGUGGGCGAGGACCGCUGCUCUUUGCGAAUUGACGGGCGGGAGUUGCUGAGGUUCGACGGUCAAGUGACCCCCUGGUGCAGCCUCUUCAAUCAAAUCUGCAAAGGAUCUGAGUCCUUUGGGGGUGUGAAAUGAAACAAGGUCUUGGCCUCCCCAGAUCCCAGCUCUCCUGGAGAAGAGGGGGCACCUCUGUUCUCCAGAGCCCGCCUCCAGGCAGGGCCACGCCAACACAGGUGCCGGGCCCUCAGAGAGCCAGCAGCCCUGACUCUGGACCAGACUUCCUUGCCUGGGACUCUGGAGGAUGCUCCCUUGCUGCUGGAGCUGCAGAAGCUGCCGGGAUUGGCCAACACAGACUUGAGUGCCCCGAACCCCAACAUCCAGGUGACCAUCGAGGUGGUGGAGGACCCCCAGGCUGAGGUGGAGAUGGACCUGAUGGCUGAGCCCAGCAAUCGCUGGCCCCAGGGCGCCCCCAACUGGCUGCCCACCAAGGAACUCUUCUGGCCCCUAUUCUGGGGCUACCUGGAGGGCGAGGAGGGGAGGACCAAUGUCAAGGGCAGAGCACCAGGGGAAGAGGAGGAAGUGGAGGAGGAGGGUUACCCUCCAGAGUACAGUGAGACUGAGGACCAGGAGGACGACGACGAGGAAGACGACGAUGACAAGGAGCCUGGGUUCAGUGGGGCCACAGGAGGCCUGGAGCAGGGCUGGCUGUCCCCUGGGGACUGGGCCUUCAAGGAGCCAGACAGCUAUGGUGAGCACCCCCAUCUUAGCUGCCCCCCAACCCCGACUGCUGCCCCUGGAGGUCCUGAGUGGAAACGGGAGCGAGCACUUCCUGAGCCCAGGUAGCUGGGAGGUCAGGCUUAGGUCUGAGCAAACGCCAUCAUCAGCUAAAUAACAACAUUACUUAUGGCUUGCAAAGGUUUUUUUUUUCCCCCUAAAUUGACCGUCACAACAGCCCUGAUACCUUCUAAGCAAAACAGGAAUUUGUUAAUAUAUAUAUUCCUAUCUAUCAGAUUCCAACAAAUUAAGAAAUGUUAUAAACAGCACCACUCACACUGACCUCAUUUUCAGACUGUGGAUUUGGAUCCUGGGUGAGGUACUUACCAGCUGAGUGAUUUUGGGCAAGUUACUUAACCUCUCUGUGACUCAGGUCUUUCCUCAGUAAAAUGGAGAUGGGCACAGCCCUUACUGACUAGGGUUGGGUGUAGAGAGUAGUGAGUUAAUACUUUUAAAGUGCUGGUACUGGAGUUCCCACAGCGGCUCAGUGGAAAUGAAUCCGACUAGGAACCAUGAGGUUGUGGGUUCGAUCCCUGGCCUUGCUUAAUGGGUUAAGGAUCUGGUGUUGUCAUGAGCUGUGGCAUAGGUCACAGACUCGGCUUGGAUCUGGUGUUGCUGAAGCUGUGGUGUAGGCUGGCAGCUGCAGCUGAUUCAACCCCUAGCCUGGGAACCUCCAUAUGCCGCAGGUGCGGCCCUAAAAAGCAAA
rnacentral:lncRNA from 1 species